rnacentral:rRNA from 1 species
GGCGGAUGGGUGAGUAACACGUGGGCAACCUGCCCUGCAGAUGGGGAUAACUCCGGGAAACCGGGGCUAAUACCGAAUAAUCAACAUGUCCGCAUGGACAUGUUCUGAAAGACGGCUCACGCUGUCACUGCAGGAUGGGCCCGCGGCGCAUUAGCUAGUUGGUAAGGUAAUGGCUUACCAAGGCGACGAUGCGUAGCCGACCUGAGAGGGUGAUCGGCCACACUGGGACUGAGACGCGGCCCAGACUCCUACGGGAGGCAGCAGUAGGGAAUCUUCCACAAUGGACGAAAGUCUGAUGGAGCAAUGCCGCGUGAGUGAAGAAGGUUUUCGGAUCGUAAAGCUCUGUUGUGAGGGAAGAACACGUACGGGAGUAACUGCCCGUACCUUGACGGUACCUCAUUAGAAAGCCACGGCUAACUACGUGCCAGCAGCCGCGGUAAUACGUAGGUGGCAAGCGUUGUCCGGAAUUAUUGGGCGUAAAGCGCGCGCAGGCGGCCUGUUAAGUCUGAUGUGAAAGCCCCCGGCUCAACCGGGGAAGGUCAUUGGAAACUGAUAGGCUUGAGUACAGAAGAGGAAAGCGGAAUUCCACGUGUAGCGGUGAAAUGCGUAGAGAUGUGGAGGAACACCAGUGGCGAAGGCGGCU